rnacentral:rRNA from 1 species
GGUGAACGCUGGCGGCGUGCUUAAGACAUGCAAGUCGAACGCAGUCUUCGGACUGAGUGGCGCACGGGUGAGUAACGCGUAACUGACCUACCCAGAAGUCAUGAAUAACUGGCCGAAAGGUCAGCUAAUACGUGAUGUGAUGAUUCGCCGUGGCGAAUCAUUAAAGAUUUAUCGCUUCUGGAUGGGGUUGCGUUCCAUCAGCUAGUUGGUGGGGUAAAGGCCUACCAAGGCGACGACGGAUAGCCGGCCUGAGAGGGUGGCCGGCCACAGGGGCACUGAGACACGGGUCCC